rnacentral:ncRNA from 1 species
UUUUUCGAGAGUUCGAUCCUGGCUCAGGAUGAACGCUGGCGGCGUGCCUAACACAUGCAAGUCGAGCGG